rnacentral:misc_RNA from 1 species
UAAACUGAACAAACUCAAUUACCUGAUAGACAAUACAACACAAUUUUUUUGGUGACAGUCACAAGCAGCUUAAUGUAUUCUCAUUCUCACAAGAUAUAACCACUCCCUUAUAGAGCAAAGCACAAAAUAUUUGAGAGGAAAAAGGUGAACAAAGAAAUGAACAGUAAUCAUCCAACAUGAGACAGUGAAAAUUAAGUUAUAGAAGAAAUAGUUAUAUACAAUUAAUUAUACAUUGAAGGAUCAUGUAACACAAACAGCACUGAGAAAUAUUUCACGUACCUUUGAGUAAUUUCUAUGGCG